CAGCGCGGAGAAAGGGGGCGAGCAGCCUAGAGAGAGGGAGAGAGAUACGCGGGAAGCAGGCGGUGCCGCGGGGAGACGCCGUCAUAUGGACCGGCCCGCCGCCGCCGGUUUUUUCCGCCGCACCAGCAAGGGCUACACGAUCCAGGUUCUUCAGAUCCCGGUAGGUGAAUGCUGCUUCUCUCAUGGCAUCUGCUUUCUUCUCAGGCCAGUUAGGGAAGUGCUUGAGCACUGCCCGUUCGUCUAUCAGUUGUGACAGCAAAGCCUGAAUACAAGCUUUCUUCUGCCUGAAGUUGUGUAAAAGGAACUCAGAUGGAACUCCUUUACCAGCCCUGGACACCUUUGGCUAAUAAGACCAAGUGAAUAUUUUGAAAAGUAGAGGGACAAGAAGAAACAAAAUAAAGCUGAGCAAAAGAAGGGGGGAAGCAGAUCUGAAUGUGUUUAUCUUUCAAAACACACAGAUUUCUGGUGAAGCCUUUCCUACCUGUAUCUGAACAGCAUUGGGCAUCUGUUUAUGCCACCAAAUAUAGGCGGUAGCAGAACCCCGAAAACGACAUAUCAGUAGGUUUAGAAAAAGGAGUCCCUACAAAGGAAGAUUCUGGCAAUGUUAUAAAGAAAAUGUAGAAAUAAACUGUUACAGGAUGACAGCAGAUUAAGCUGGCAUCAAAGGUUACUCUGUGUACUCUUGAGAUACAGGUACCAUUGUAAAGUCCCUGAUCCGUAGGGAAUUGCAGCCAUGUUUAAAGAGUUCAUUGAUUUCGCUGCGUCA